GACGAACGCUGGCGGCGUGCUUAACACAUGCAAGUCGAACGGAAAGGCCCUGCUUGCAGGGUACUCGAGUGGCGAACGGGUGAGUAACACGUGGGUGAUCUGCCCUGCACUUCGGGAUAAGCUUUGGAAACUGGGUCUAAUACCGGAUAGGAGCCAUCUUUAGUGUGGUGGUUGGAAAGUUUUUUCGGUGUAGGAUGAGCUCGCGGCCUAUCAGCUUGUUGGUGGGGUAAUGGCCUACCAAGGCGGCGACGGGUAGCCGGCCUGAGAGGGUGUACGGCCACAUUGGGACUGAGAUACGGCCCAGACUCCUACGGGAGGCAGAAGUGGGGAAUAUUGCACAAUGGGCGCAAGCCUGAUGCAGAGACGCCGCGUGGGGGAUGAAGGCCUUCGGGUUGUAAACUCCUUUCGCUAGGGACGAAGCUUUGUUGUGACGGUACCUAGAUAAGAAGCACCGGCUAACUACGUG
rnacentral:rRNA from 1 species